UGGGGAAUUUUGGACAAUGGGCGAAAGCCUGAUCCAGCAAUGCCGCGUGUGUGAAGAAGGCCUUCGGGUUGUAAAGCACUUUUGCCCGGAAAGAAAUCCUCUGGGUUAAUACCUCGGGGGGAUGACGGUACCGGAAGAAUAAGCACCGGCUAACUACGUGCCAGCAGCCGCGGUAAUACGUAGGGUGCAAGCGUUAAUCGGAAUUACUGGGCGUAAAGCGUGCGCAGGCGGUUUUGUAAGACGGAUGUGAAAUCCCCGGGCUUAACCUGGGAACUGCAUUCGUGACUGCAAGGCUAGAGUAUGGCAGAGGGGGGUAGAAUUCCACGUGUAGCAGUGAAAUGCGUAGAGAUGUGGAGGAAUACCGAUGGCGAAGGCAGCCCCCUGGGCCAAUACUGACGCUCAUGCACGAAAGCGUGGGGAGCAAACAGGAUUAGAUACCCUGGUAGUCCACGCCCUAAACGAUGUCAACUAGUUGUUGGGGAUUCAUUUCCUUAGUAACGUAGCUAACGCGUGAAGUUGACCGCCUGGGGAGUACGGUCGCAAGAUUAAAACUUAAAUGAAUUGACGGGGUCAUAGCUGUUUCCU
rnacentral:rRNA from 1 species